rnacentral:misc_RNA from 1 species
UAGUCGUAACAAGGUCUCCGUAGGUGAACCUGCGGGGGGAUCAUUAAUGAGAACUUGCCCUAACGGGUAGAUCUCCCACCCUUUUGUCAUCAAACCAAAUUCAUUUGUUCGCUUUGGUCCCUGGCCCAGACCCCUUCGGGGUUCCCGCCCGGGCCUUUCGGGCUGGUCAGCGCCGGACAGAGGAAACUAAAACCUUUAUCACUGUCGUCAGAGUACUAUAUAAUAGUUAAAA